GUCCACGCCCUAAACGAUGUCAACUGGGUGUUGGGGGAGCGAUUCCUCAGUACCGUAGCUAACGCGUGAAGUUUACCGCCUGGGGAGUACGGCCGCAAGGUUAAAACUCAAAGGAAUUGACGGGGACCCGCACAAGCGGUGGAUGAUGUGUAUUAAUUCGAUGCAACGCGAACAACCUUACCUACCCUUGACAUGUCCGGAAGCCCGCUGAGAGGCGGGUGUGCCCGAAAGGGAAUCGGAACACAGGUGCUGCAUGGCUGUCGU
rnacentral:rRNA from 1 species